UCUCCGUUGGUGAACCAGCGGAGGGAUCAUUACAGGACUCGCAAGACUCCUUCACCCUGUGAACCUCACUACAAGCAUGUUGCUUCGGCGGGUGUCCCGGCGAGGGUUUUCCCUCGCCGGGGCGCACAGCCCGCCGGCAGCCUACUAUACUUUGUCUCUUUGCGUUGGCAUCUCGAGAAAAAACAAACAAGUUAAAACUUUCAACAACGGAUCUCUUGGUUCUG
rnacentral:misc_RNA from 1 species